rnacentral:rRNA from 1 species
UGGGGAAUAUUGGACAAUGGGCGAAAGCCUGAUCCAGCCAUGCCGCGUGAGUGAUGAAGGCCUUAGGGUUGUAAAGCUCUUUCAGUGGGGACGAUAAUGACGGUACCCACAGAAGAAGCCCCGGCUAACUUCGUGC